rnacentral:rRNA from 1 species
AUUGAACGCUGGCGGCAUGCCUUACACAUGCAAGUCGAACGGUAACGGGCCUUCGGGUGCCGACGAGUGGCGAACGGGUGAGUAAUGCAUCGGAACGUACCUUUCAGUGGGGGAUAACGUAGCGAAAGUUACGCUAAUACCGCAUAUUCUGUGAGCAGGAAAGCAGGGGAUCGCAAGACCUUGCGCUGAUUGAGCGGCCGAUGUCAGAUUAGCUAGUUGGUGGGGUGAAGGCUCACCAAGGCGACGAUCUGUAGCGGGUCUGAGAGGAUGAUCCGCCACACUGGAACUGAGACACGGUCCAGACUCCUACGGGAGGCAGCAGUGGGGAAUUUUGGACAAUGGGGGCAACCCUGAUCCAGCCAUGCCGCGUGAGUGAAGAAGGCCUUCGGGUUGUAAAGCUCUUUCGGUCGGGAAGAAAUCGCAUGGGUUAAUACCCUGUGCGGAUGACGGUACCGGCAUAAGAAGCACCGGCUAACUACGUGCCAGCCGCCGCGGUAAAAC